AAAAAAAUCUAUCUUAUUUUCAAUCAAUAAUAUCACCUUCACAUUUUUUAAUAGCCUUACUUUCAUUACAAAAAUGUCUAUUCGAACGUCCGGUUACGGUGUGCAUGAAGAUAUACGAUUAUGUGAAGUCUAUAUGGAGAUUUCUCGAGAUUCUAUUAGAGGUGCGCAACAAAGUUCAACUUCAUUUUGGAAUCGAGUUGAGGAAGCGUAUAACAAAGAUAAAAAUGAAAAUUGGGAGGAACGCAACGUUAGAUCGGUGGGUGUUCGUGUUCGUACUAUAGAGUAGGCAAUCCGAAAAUUAAAUGGGUGCAUGAGACAAAUCGAAGCAAUGAAUCCUAGUGGAGCAUCGAAUGAAGAUAUUUUCCCCUCUUCCUCUCCCUCCCGCCAAAACAUCAGUCCCCACCUCUCUUAUUAUACGCAACCCUUCUCAAUAAUCUCUGCAAAACCCUUCUCUUCAGAAUUACGAUUAUCCCGCUCCAAUCCCCGAAUUUGCAUAAUCAGAGACAUAUGGCUGGAAUUUUAAAAAAAUUGUCUAAAGAUAAGGAUCCAUCAGGCGAUGAUCUUGUUAGAGUAGUCGAUUUUUCCUCUGAGGUAAAUGUUUUGUUUUUGGUAGUCAUUUUAUGUUAUAAUUUGCGUAUCGUGUUUGAGAAAAUGUGCAAGUGAAUGAAGCUAUAUGCAAUUUCAUUGAAGUUAAUUGAGUAUCAGAAACUUAUAUUGGCAUCACCAAGUAAAUUGUUUUGCUUACAAUUUGGUGGACACAUUUUUUCAUCAAGAAUGUGAUAGUUAUAGACUUAGAUAUGGUUUAAAAUACACAAGAAUUGGGGAGGAAUGAGCUCGAGUAUCAAUAAAGAGACUCUUGUCACUCGCAAGUCUAGAUGAGCUUCUUACAUCCUCAAAAUAAAAAUUUCAAGCUAUAUUGAUAAUUUAUAUCUUUAAAAUUUAGGUGUGAAUCAAAAAUAACUAAUUAAGGUAAUGGUUGUGACACGUCAUUUGUGCAACAAACUAAUGAGUAAUGAUACAUUUUCAAUGGUAGAAAAUUUUGAUGAUAAAAAUUAAACAAACAUUAAUAGUCUAUUAUCACAAAUAUCUCAUUGGUUUAUUGUAUAAAUGACGUGCCACAACCGUUGUGUGUAAUAAUCACUCGUAUAUCAAUUGAAUUUGUUGAAUUUCAUAUUCUACAGUUUAAAAACAAAUAAUUGCAUAAAUAUGAUAAUUUUGUAAUGGUUAUUUUUAUUCUUUGUUGAACUCGAGCCGAGUUCGAUCUCGAGUGUCGUUCGAGUUUGAAUUCGAGCUUGAGAAUUUAAGCGCGUUCAAGUUUGAGCUCUAGCUUGUAUGACACACUCGAGCUCGAGUUCAAGCUUGGCAUAACUCGGGCUCGGCUAAGCCCAUUUACACCCCAAAUUGGAUGUCCUGUGUAUGUGUAAUUUAUGUUUCAGACUUGAAACUUCAACCAACUCAUUUAUUUCCAACAUUCUAACAUGGAAGCAGAAAGACAUUCGUUUAGUCUUAAAUUCAUCUUCAUUCAAUAGCAUACCCUAUAAAUGUCCACAGAACCAUAGACAAACAUUUAAGGUGAACAUUCUCACAAUUGAAAGUAAUUCAUGCAUUGGGAAUGUUUGCUAACAUUUCCUACAUCCCACAGCUAAUUGCAGUUAAUGGGCCUAACUGCAAGUUGUUUCAUCAUGUUUUAUGGUCAAUUUUAUUCUCAUUUUGAUGUUACUUGUGGUCCUGGUUUCGGCUUUACUAAUUCUUGAAAUGUGUUUGGAUUACACCCGUAGGAUCACGUUCACUUGUCUGAUUUAACGAUUAAAUGUUUGAGCGAUCAAGCAAAUUUAGUUGUGAUGAUUGGGUGAGGCGUUAUAUAUUAUAAUAAGCUUGUUAAACAAAAACACUAUUUAGUUUCAUGUUGCAGCCUGCAACCUUUUUAUCUUCAUGUUUAGACCAGAAAACUAUUUGAAAAAUAAAUUAAUAAGGAAGAGGUUGACGGUCUGGGAUUACAGCCAAGAAAGAGCUACUCGUGAUUGACUCAAAAAAUACUCGAGUUAAAGCCACUUGAGCUGUUAAAAUACUUGGCUCGAUAGACUCACGAGUUUAAUUGAGCUUUAAUUAAUUUACUUUGUUAUUCUUUAUAAUUACAUAUAUUUACAAUAAUACUUUAAUUAUUAUAUCAAAUUUAGUUUUUAAAUAUCUGUUACAUAUAACUGAGUCGAGUCAAGCUGGAAUCUCAAUCAUUUUGGCAGGGUUUGUACUUGAUUCAACUAGAUUACAGCCCUAUUCCAUAAAACAUUCAUCGGCAGCUAAAUCUAGGACUGAAUUUCCCUUUAUCGGAAAACAUAUGCUUUGCCUUUGUGGUUCAACGUACAGGCUUGUAAAUCAGUCUUGGAAACAAGAUGGCAAUGCCAAUCAGUAUCAAUUCGUAAUCACUUGCUACGUUUAUUGGCUGGGAAGCCUGUGAUGAUAAUAAUCAGCUACUGAAGCCAAGAUCCUAGCUUCAAUAGUUCUUUCUACCUAUGAAUCACCGACACUUGUUAUAGAUGCCGUAUGCAAUGGGGGACGCGGCAAAAUAAGUGUUCCAAUAAUUUUUACAGUCAAUAGGAGGAAACAUGCUGGGAGUGUUCAAGUGUUUAAAACUUAUAACUACAGUUAAUGUUAAUGAAUUAAACUUCUUAUGCAAAUAUAAUGUUAAUUUUCCGUAUAUCCGCCGUGUCUGUUUCUUUAUUUUUAAAUAUGUUAUCCGCUGUGUCCGUACCCGUAUCUGUUUUCGUACCCAUGUCGGUGCUUCAUAGCUUACUAGCUGAUGAAUAUUAUAAGCUAUUCAUUCAA